rnacentral:rRNA from 1 species
CCUACGGGGUGCAGCAGUGGGGAAUAUUGCGCAAUGGGCGAAAGCCUGACGCAGCGACGCCGCGUGAGGGAUGAAGGUCUUCGGAUCGUAAACCUCUGCCAGCAGGGAAGAACGGUCACUGUGCUAAUCAGCAGUGAAUUGACGGUACCUGCAAAGGAAGCACCGGCUAACUCCGUGCCAGCAGCCGCGGUAAUACGGAGGGUGCGAGCGUUAAUCGGAAUUACUGGGCGUAAAGCGCUCGUAGGCGGUAUGUCAAGUCAAGGGUGAAAUCCCCGCGCUCAACGUGGGAACUGCCUUUGAAACUGGCAAACUGGAGUGUGUGAGAGGAUAGUGGAAUUCCAGGUGUAGGAGUGAAAGCCGUAGAUAUCUGGAGGAACAUCAGUGGCGAAGGCGACUAUCUGGCACAUAACUGACGCUGAGGAGCGAAAGCGUGGGUAGCAAACAGGAUUAGAUACCCCAGUAGUC